CUGAAAAUGGAGAUAAGGAUUACAUCUG
rnacentral:piRNA from 1 species